GAUGAACGCUGGCGGCGUGCCUAACACAUGCAAGUCGAGCGUGAACCCUUAGAAUGAAACUUCGGUCGAAUGAAGAGGGGGAAAGCGGCGGACGGGUGAGUAACGCGUAGGCAACCUGCCCCGUACAGAGGGAUAGCCUCGGGAAACCGGGAUUAAAACCUCAUAAUACCAUGGUAUCACAUGAUGCAAUGGUCAAAGAUUUAUCGGUAUGGGAUGGGCCUGCGUCUGAUUAGCUGGUUGGUGGGGUAACGGCCUACCAAGGCAACGAUCAGUAGCCGACCUGAGAGGGUAAUCGGCCACAUUGGAACUGAGACACGGUCCAAACUCCUACGGGAGGCAGCAGUGGGGAAUAUUGCACAAUGGGCGAAAGUCUGAUGCAGCAAACGCCGCGUGAGCGAAGAAGGCCUUUGGGUCGUAAAGCUCUGUCGGGAAGGAAGAUAAUGACGGUACUUCCCGAGGAAGCCCCGGCUAACUACGUG
rnacentral:rRNA from 1 species